ACUGUGUACAUAGCUGUAAGAGAU
rnacentral:snRNA from 1 species